UACGUAGGUGGCAAGCGUUGUCCGGAAUUAUUGGGCGUAAAGCGCGCGCAGGCGGUCCUUUAAGUCUGAUGUGAAAGCCCACGGCUCAACCGUGGAGGGUCAUUGGAAACUGGGGGACUUGAGUGCAGAAGAGGAGAGUGGAAUUCCUGGUGUAGCGGUGAAAUGCGCAGAUAUCAGGAAGAACACCUAUGGCGAAAGCAGCUCUCUGGGACGGUACUGACGCUGAGACGCGAAAGCGUGGGGAGCGAACAGG
rnacentral:rRNA from 1 species